rnacentral:rRNA from 1 species
GUGGGGAAUAUUGGACAAUGGGCGAAAGCCUGAUCCAGCCAUGCCGCGUGUGUGAAGAAGGUCUUCGGAUUGUAAAGCACUUUAAGUUGGGAGGAAGGGCAGUAAGUUAAUACCUUGCUGUUUUGACGUUACCGACAGAAUAAGCACCGGCUAACUUCGUGCCAGCAGCCGCGGUAAUACGAAGGGUGCAAGCGUUAAUCGGAAUUACUGGGCGUAAAGCGCGCGUAGGUGGUUUUGUAAGUUGGAGGUGAAAUCACCGGGCUCAACCUGGGAACUGCCUCCAAAACUGCAUGACUAGAGUACGGUAGAGGGUAGUGGAAUUUCCUGUGUAGCGGUGAAAUGCGUAGAUAUAGGAAGGAACACCAGUGGCGAAGGCGACUACCUGGACUGAUACUGACACUGAGGUGCGAAAGCGUGGGGAGCAAACAGGAUUAGAUACCCUUGUAGUCC